AGGGUUUGAUCAUGGCUCAGGAUGAACGCUGGCGGCGUGCUUAACACAUGCAAGUCGAACGAACCUUCGGGUUAGUGGCGGACGGGUGAGUAACGCGUGAGAAUCUGCCCUCAGGAGGGGGACAACAGCUGGAAACGGCUGCUAAUACCCCAUAUGCCGCGAGGUGAAAUGAAUUUCGCCUGAGGAUGAGCUCGCGUCUGAUUAGCUAGUUGGUGUGGGUAAUGGCUCACCAAGGCAUCGAUCAGUAGCUGGUCUGAGAGGAUGAUCAGCCACACUGGGACUGAGACACGGCCCAGACUCCUACGGGAGGCAGCAGUGGGGAAUUUUCCGCAAUGGGCGAAAGCCUGACGGAGCAACGCCGCGUGAGGGAUGAAGGCCUCUGGGCUGUAAACCUCUUUUAUCAAGGAAGAAGAUCUGACGGUACUUGAUGAAUAAGCCACGGCUAGUUCCGUGCCAGCAGCCGCGGUAAUACGGGAGUGGCAAGCGUUAUCCGGAAUUAUUGGGCGUAAAGCGUCCGCAGGCGGCCCUUCAAGUCUGCUGUUAAAAAGUGGAGCUUAACUCCAUCAUGGCAGUGGAAACUGUUGGGCUUGAGUGUGGUAGGGGCAGAGGGAAUUCCUGGUGUAGCGGUGAAAUGCGUAGAUAUCGGGAAGAACACCAGUGGCGAAGGCGCUCUGCUGGGCCAUCACUGACGCUCAUGGACGAAAGCCAGGGGAGCGAAAGGGAUUAGAUACCCCUGUAGUCCUGGCCGUAAACGAUGAACACUAGGUGUCGGGGGAAUCGACCCCCUCGGUGUCGUAGCCAACGCGUUAAGUGUUCCGCCUGGGGAGUACGCACGCAAGUGUGAAACUCAAAGGAAUUGACGGGGGCCCGCACAAGCGGUGGAGUAUGUGGUUUAAUUCGAUGCAACGCGAAGAACCUUACCAGGGUUUGACAUCCUGCGAAUCUCUUGGAAACAGGAGAGUGCCUUCGGGAACGCAGUGACAGGUGGUGCAUGGCUGUCGUCAGCUCGUGUCGUGAGAUGUUGGGUUAAGUCCCGCAACGAGCGCAACCCACGUCUUUAGUUGCCAGCAUUUAGUUGGGCACUCUAGAGUGACUGCCGGUGAUAAACCGGAGGAAGGUGUGGAUGACGUCAAGUCAUCAUGCCCCUUACAUCCUGGGCUACACACGUACUACAAUGCUACGGACAAAGGGCAGCAAGUUCGCGAGGACAAGCAAAUCCCAUAAACCGUGGCUCAGUUCAGAUCGUAGGCUGUAACUCGCCUACGUGAAGGCGGAAUCGCUAGUAAUCGCAGGUCAGCAUACUGCGGUGAAUACGUUCCCGGGCCUUGUACACACCGCCCGUCACACCAUGGAAGUUGGCCACGCCCGAAGCCGUUACUCCAACCCUUGUGGAGGAGGACGUCGAAGGUGGGGCUGAUGACUGGGGUGAAGUCGUAACAAGGUAACCAAGGG
rnacentral:rRNA from 1 species